rnacentral:rRNA from 1 species
UUCUGGCUCAGAACGAACGCUGGCGGCAGGCUUAACACAUGCAAGUUGAGCGGGAUUUCGAGUAGCUUGCACUUGAGAUGAGAGCAGCGCACUGGUGAGUAACACGUGGGAACAUACCUUUUGGUGGGGGGACAACAGUUGGAAACGACUGCUAAUACCGCAUAAGCCCUAAGGGGGAAAGAUUCAUUGCCGAAAGAUUGGCCCGCGGAAGAUUAGGUAGUAGGUGGGGUAACGGCCUACCUAGCCGACGAUCUAUAGCUGGUCUGAGAGGACGAUCAGCCACAUUGGAACUGAGACACGGUCCAGACUCCUACGGGAGGCAGCAGUGAGGAAUAUUGGGCAAUGGAGGCAACUCUGACCCAGCCCAUGCCGCGUGAGUGAAGAAGGUUUUCGGAUUGUAAAGCUCUUUCAGACGGGAAGAUGAUGACGGUACCGUCAGAAGAAGCACCGGCUAACUUCGUGCCAGCAGCUGC